rnacentral:rRNA from 1 species
UACAGAGGAUGCAAGCGUUAUCCGGAAUGAUUGGGCGUAAAGCGCACGUAGGCGGCUUUGUAAGUUAGAGGUGAAAGCCCGGGGCUCAACUCCGGAAUUGCCUUUAAGACUGCAUCGCUAGAAUUGUGGAGAGGUAAGUGGAAUUCCGAGUGUAGAGGUGAAAUUCGUAGAUAUUCGGAAGAACACCAGUGGCGAAAGCGACUGUCUGGAUCAUUACUGACGCUGAGGCGCGAAAGCGUGGGGAGCAAACAGG